rnacentral:rRNA from 1 species
UACGUAGGUGGCAAGCGUUGUCCGGAAUUAUUGGGCGUAAAGCGCGCGCAGGCGGUCCUAUAAGUCUGAUGUGAAAGCCCCCGGCUCAACCGGGGAGGGUCAUUGGAAACUGUAAGACUUGAGUACUGGAGAGAAGAGUGGAAUUCCACGUGUAGCGGUGAAAUGCGUAGAGAUGUGGAGGAACACCAGUGGCGAAGGCGACUCUUUGGCCAGAAACUGACGCUGAGGCGCGAAAGCGUGGGGAGCAAACAGG